rnacentral:tRNA from 1 species
ACUGAAAUAGCUCAGUUGGUAGAGCGUCAGCCUACAAAUCGAAGGGUUCUUGGUUCGAUCCCCAGUUCCGACA